UGUUGAUGUGUAGGAACGAAUGCCCUUCAAAUGAGUAGCAUGACAAUGAGCUAAAUCUUGUGCCCUAAGGGAGUUUGGUGGUGUUGACAUAGAUGUAGAUUCUCUAAGAGGAGUGGCUGGUGGUAUGUUAGGUACAGGUGCACUAAGGAGAGUGAGCUGCUGAUGUGCGUGACUAGGUUUCCAGCAUCUUAUUUUUGUAAGUUGGAAGAGCGACCCCAGGACUGCGUAAUUACUUCAAGCUUGAUGCAGCAAAGACUCCACCCUAGUUGUAAUAGCAUAGCAGCACAUAGCUGUUGCUGUAAGAUAACACUUAGCUCAGUUAGAGUCCUCUGUCCCCUGGCUUGGUAACGAUUAGGCUGAAAGAGCUGAGCCUGAAUGAUGCACAAUUUCCACUAGCAGCAGCCUGUCAGUGGUAGAUCGAUCUCCUGUGGUUCCAAGGGCACUGUUAAUGGACACUUGUGGAAAGCGGGAAACAGGCGAAGCUAGUUUUCUUCUAGCAAGAACAUAAGAACAUAAGAAUUUGAUGGCAAAAGAAGACCAAGAUUCACCAAUAACCAGGCUACAGUAACUGAGAGAUGUCGUAGUGGAAGAUCCUGGGAAAAGAUCCUGCUAUUUGAAAGCUCUCUGGCCAGUCAGUCUGUACUAACUUCCCCCAGCUGAUGUCUCACCACCAUCACAGUCAGCGUCUGCCUGCCUUCUCUUCUGAGCAGGAAAUGACAUCUUCAUACAAAAAUAUUUCAUGAAUAAUGACAAUAUUGCUUAUAUUUGGUAUUGUGCCCAUAUUAUCUUCUUGCAAAAUAGGCUCUGAGUACGACUGCAAAACAAAUCAAUUUAAUGAAAGACACAAUUUCCUAUUUGCAAAUGUCACGCUUUAUAUCCCAUUGUAAAAAAAACCACACGUGCACAUACACACACAUAUAUGUGUAAAACAUUCAAACGCAUGCCCGGUAUUUUACUGUCAGAUGUUAAUCUUAUUAAAGUGUCAGUUGUCAUACUUGCAAUUUUUGAUACAGUGGCCCACAUGUUGAAACGUCGAUUUACUUUACAGCAUAUUUCUGUGAAGCGCUUUGAGACGUCUCAACCC